AGUUUUUAAAUAUGUAAAUUAAUAUCCCUACUUUUAUUAAAUCUCAAAAAUAGUUCUGAAUUAGUAUUUAUUUGACCCAUAAAUAAGAAAUUGGCAAUAAUCUCACAAUAAAGUUAAAAAGUCGUCAACAACAGGAUUCGAACCUGCACAAGCAAAGCCCAACAAAUUUCAAGUCUGUCUCCUUAACCACUCAGACAUAUUGACACCCAUAUAUAAGAAAUGAUUUGUUCUCUAUCCAACUGAUGUGGGAUUUCACAAUAAA